CACAAUUCAAAGACCACCUAUUCCUUUUUCUGCCUACAUCUGUCUAGUGUCAUUCGCCUGCAUUCCCCUGUUUUCUUUGAUCUGUCUAUUCCAGCUUACCUCGAGUAGUAGGUCUAUGUUCAGCACACUUGGGUAGUAGGUCUAUGUUCAACACACUCUGGUAGUAGGUCUAUGUUCAGCACACUUGGGUAGUAGGUCUAUGUUCAACACUCUUGGGUAGUAGGUCUAUGUUCAACACACUUGGGUAGUAGGUCUAUGUUCAACACUCUUGGGUAGUAGGUCUAUGUUCAACACACUUGGGUAGUAGGUCUAUGUUCAACACACUCAAGUCUUCAUAAAGACCCAGAUCCUCCACACCAAAUCUGCAUUUAUAACUUUUAGUGUUUUGUUUGGUUUGUACACUGUCAGAGUCCCUUGUCUGUUAGGGGAAGGGUUUCCAAACUGUGGUUUGGGAUUCAACUAUGUAUGGAAUAACAUUUCUGUAAUAUAGAAAGGGUGCAGAACAUAUAUUAGACAUAAAUAUAUUUUUUAUUACCUCAGAAAACUUACAAUCACCAAAAUAAAACUGUGAUAAUCAGG
ensembl:lncRNA